rnacentral:misc_RNA from 1 species
AUUAUCAACCCUCAAGCCUGGCUUGCCAUUGGACUCUGUCGCGGUCCUGCGACAGGUCUUAAAGAUAACGACGGCGUCUGUCCGACCCUCGAUGCAACGAGCUUUUCACGGCACGCAUGGAAGUGGUCUGGUCGGCCCGGUCUGAACCCUUAUUUUUCACGGUUGACCUCGGAUCAGGUAGGAGUACCCGCUGAACUUAA